rnacentral:misc_RNA from 1 species
CAGAGUUGCAAAACUCCUAACCCUUUGUGAAUUUUACCUGUUUAGUUGCUUCGGCAGGCGGCCCCAGGGCGGGGUCUUCAGCCUGUUUUUACAGGCGUCUGCCGAAGGAUUUUAUAAACUCUUUAAUGCUCUCAGUGGCUCUCUGAGUUAAAAGACAAAAUAAGUUA